AUAUAUGCCUGGCAUGGAGAUGACACCAGUAUCAAGAAGAUGGUUUUCCCAGGGUGAGGCGUAUCCACUGCGCUCCAGAUGUGCUGACCCUGCUAUUUCUCCAUGUUCCUGGAAACUGCAUAACUUGUGGUAGUGGGGUACUGGAUUUGGGCUUUGCCCUG
ensembl:snRNA U1 U1 spliceosomal RNA